AGACUAAUACCCAAUGACGUCUCUAGAAGACAUCUGAAGGAGAUUAAAGAUUUAUCGGUGAUGGAUGGGGAUGCGUCUGAUUAGCUUGUUGGCGGGGUAACGGCCCACCAAGGCGACGAUCAGUAGGGGUUCUGAGAGGAAGGUCCCCCACAUUGGAACUGAGACACGGUCCAAACUCCUACGGGAGGCAGCAGUGAGGAAUAUUGGUCAAUGGACGAGAGUCUGAACCAGCCAAGUAGCGUGCAGGAUGACGGCCCUAUGGGUUGUAAACUGCUUUUAUAAGGGAAUAAAGUGAGUCUCGUGAGACUUUUUGCAUGUACCUUAUGAAUAAGGACCGGCUAAUUCCGUGCCAGCAGCCGCGGUAAUACGGAAGGUCCGGGCGUUAUCCGGAUUUAUUGGGUUUAAAGGGAGCGUAGGCCGGAGAUUAAGCGUGUUGUGAAAUGUAGACGCUCAACGUCUGCACUGCAGCGCGAACUGGUUUCCUUGAGUACGCACAAAGUGGGCGGAAUUCGUGGUGUAGCGGUGAAAUGCUUAGAUAUCACGAAGAACUCCGAUUGCGAAGGCAGCUCACUGGAGCGCAACUGACGCUGAAGCUCGAAAGUGCGGGUAUCGAACAGGAUUAGAUACCCUGGUAGUCCGCACGGUAAACGAUGGAUGCCCGCUGUUGGCCUGAACAGGUCAGCGGCCAAGCGAAAGCAUUAAGCAUCCCACCUGGGGAGU
rnacentral:rRNA from 1 species